rnacentral:rRNA from 1 species
CCUACGGUGGGCAGCAGUGAGGAAUAUUGGUCAAUGGGCUUACGCCUGAACCAGCCAAGUCGCGUGAGGGAAGACUGCCCUAUGGGUUGUAAACCUCUUUUAUAAGGGAAGAAUAAAUGCUACGUGUAGCAUGAUGCCUGUACCUUAUGAAUAAUCAUCGGCUAACUCCGUGCCAGCAGCCGCGGUAAUACGGAGGCUGCGAGCGUUAUCCGGAUUUAUUGGGUUUACAGGGUGCGUAGGCGGUUUUUUAAGUUAGUGGUUAAACGUCGGGGCUUCACCUUGAUUUGCCAUUAAUACUGUAAGACUCGAGUUCAGACGAGGUAGGCGGAAUAAGUUAAGUAGCGGUGAAAUGCUUAGAUAUAACUUAGAACUCCAAUAGCGAAGGCAGCUUACCAGACUGCGACUGACGCUGAAGCACGAGAGCGUGGGUAGCGAACAGGAUUAGAUACCCUGGUAGUC